UGCGGAUUGGCUACCCGAUGGGGAUGGGAGGAGUCCAAAAUCAAAUCUACCACCUACGGAUUUAAAAGUCGUGGAGAGACUAAAUUGUCACAUCGAGAAAAUAUCCUUCCUCAGUGACAAGAUAGUAUAGAAACAGCACUGUUCUUCCUGAUUGUUAUUUACAUCUGGGUAAUCUCUGAGUUUCCUCCGUGUAGGCUUUUUACGCACAGCAGAAACGCGUGGAUUAAUACAAAUACUAAACUAGUUGGGGGAACAGAGAACGUGAAAAUGGACGAGAAGCCUCAAGUGGAGAGAUAUCAGAGAGAGAGAGAGAGAAAGAAUGGACCAGUCUGGAGAGGCUGAGAACAAUGCUGCUGCAGUGGCCACAACAUCAGCGUUGGGUGGAGAAAGCUGAGAUCCUGGAACACACCGUUCUCUUUCUCCAGAACACUGGCGAUGGGGACAGGAAGAAAGCUGAAGGUGAGGAGCAUUGAGGUCGCGGCUUAAGCUCAACUCGCUGCCCGGCACAACAC
rnacentral:lncRNA from 1 species